GUGCAGUGUAAUGAUAUCUCAUCGAGCACAUUCUUCUGAUGUAGUUGUUAAAAAAACUAUAAAUCCCAUGGUCAAGACCAAAACUAGACAAAUACAGUAUGGUCAUCAGUGACAGUGUAUUACAUAGUGGAGAGAUAGCGGCAGACAGAGAGAGAGUUAGAGAGAGAGGCAGACAGAGAGAGAGAGAGAGAGAGAGAGAGAGAGAUAGAGGCAGACAGAGAGAGAUAGAGAGAGAGAGAGAGAGAGAGACAGACAGAGAGAGAGAGAGAGAUAGAGGCAGACAGAGAGAGAGCGAGAGAGAGACAGAGAGACAGAGAGAGAGAGAGAUAGAGGCAGACAGAGAGAGAUAGAGAGAGAGAGAGAGAGAGAGAGAGACAGACAGAGAGAGAGAGAGAUAGAGGCAGACAGAGAGAGAGCGAGAGAGAGAGAGAGAGAGAAAGACAGAGAGAGAGAGAGAUAGAGGCAGACAGAGAGAGAUAGAGAGAGAGAGAGACAGACAGACAGAGAGAGAGAGAGAGAUAGAGGCAGACAAAGAGAGAGAGCGAGAGAGAGGCAGACAGAGAGAGAUAGAGGCAGACAGAGAGAGAGAGAGACAGAGAGAGAGAGAGAUAGAGGCAGACAGAGAGAGAUAGAGAGAGAGAGCGAGAGAGAUAGAGGCAGACAGAGAGGGAGAGAGAGAUAGAUAGAGAGAGAGAGAGAGAGAGGCAGACAGAGAGAUAGAUAGAGAGAGAGAGAUAGAGGCAGAGAGAGAGAGAGAGAGAGAUAGAGGCAGACAGAGAGAGAGAUAGAUAGAGAGAGAGAGGCAGACAGAGAGAGAUAGAGGCAGACAGAGAGAGAUAGAGAUAGACAGACAGAGAGAGAGAUAGAGGCACAGAGAGAGAGAGAGAGAGGCAGAGAGAGAGAGAGAUAGAGGCAGACAGAGAGAUAGAUAGAGAGAGAGAAAGAUAGAGGCAGACAGAGAGAGAGAGAGACAAGCAGACAGAGAGAGAGAGAGAGGCAGACAUAGAGAGAUAGAGGCAGACAGAUAGAGGCAGACAGAGAGAGAGAGAGAUAGAUAGAGAGAGAUAGAGGCAGACAGAGAGAGAUAGAGGCAGACAGAUAGAGGCACACAGAGAGAGAGAGAUAGGCAGACAGAGAGAGAUAGAGAGGCAGACAGAGAGAGAGAGAGAGAGAUAGAGGCAGAGAGAGAGAUAGAUAGAGAGAGAGAGAGAGGCAGACAGAGAGAGAGAUGGAUAGAGAUAGA
ensembl:lncRNA